AGUGAACGCUGGCGGUAGGCCUAACACAUGCAAGUCGAACGGCAGCACAGAGGAGCUUGCUCCUUGGGUGGCGAGUGGCGGACGGGUGAGGAAUACAUCGGAAUCUACUCUGUCGUGGGGGAUAACGUAGGGAAACUUACGCUAAUACCGCAUACGACCUACGGGUGAAAGCAGGGGACCUUCGGGCCUUGCGCGAUUGAAUGAGCCGAUGUCGGAUUAGCUAGUUGGCGGGGUAAAGGCCCACCAAGGCGACGAUCCGUCGCUGGUCUGAGAGGAUGAUCAGCCACACUGGAGCUGAGACACGGUCCAGAGUCCUACGGGAGGCAGCAGUGGGGAAUAUUGGACAAUGGGCGCAAGCCUGAUCCAGACAUACCGCGUGGGUGAAGAGGGCCUUCGGGUUGUAAAGCCCUUUUGUUGGGAAAGAAAUCCAGCUGGCUAAUACCCGGUUGGGAUGACGGUACCCAAAGAAUAAGCACCGGCUAACUUCGUGCCAGCCGCCGCAGUAA
rnacentral:rRNA from 1 species